UGGGGAAUAUUGGACAAUGGGCGGAAGCCUGAUCCAGCAACGCCGCGUGAGGGAUGACGGCCUUCGGGUUGUAAACCUCUUUCAGCACAGACGAAGCGCAAGUGACGGUAUGUGCAGAAGAAGGACCGGCCAACUACGUGCCAGCAGCCGCGGUAAUACGUAGGGUCCGAGCGUUGUCCGGAAUUAUUGGGCGUAAAGGGCUCGUAGGCGGUUUGUCGCGUCGGGAGUGAAAACACCGGGCUUAACUCGGUGCUUGCUUUCGAUACGGGCAGACUAGAGGCAUUCAGGGGAGAACGGAAUUCCUGGUGUAGCGGUGAAAUGCGCAGAUAUCAGGAGGAACACCGGUGGCGAAGGCGGUUCUCUGGGAAUGUCCUGACGCUGAGGAGCGAAAGUGUGGGGAGCGAACAGGAUUAGAUACCCUGGUAGUCCACACCGUAAACGUUGGGCGCUAGGUGUGGGAUCCAUUCCACGGGUUCCGUGCCGCAGCUAACGCAUUAAGCGCCCCGCCUGGGGGUACGGCCGCAAGGCUAAAACUU
rnacentral:rRNA from 1 species